GAUGAACGCUGGCGGCGUGCCUAAUACAUGCAAGUCGAGCGAACAGACGAGGAGCUUGCUCCUCUGACGUUAGCGGCGGACGGGCGAGUAACACGUGGAUAACCUACUUAUAAGACUGGGAUAACUUCGGGAAACCGGAGCUAAUACCGGAUAAUAUAUUGAACCGCAUGGUUCAAUAGUGAAAGACGGUUUUGCUGUCACUUAUAGAUGGAUCCGCGCCGCAUUAGCUAGUUGGUAAGGUAACGGCUUACCAAGGCAACGAUGCGUAGCCGACCUGAGAGGAUGAUCGGCCACACUGGAACUGAGACACGGUCCAGACUCCUACGGGAGGCAGCAGUAGGGAAUCUUCCGCAAUGGGCGAAAGCCUGACGGAGCAACGCCGCGUGAGUGAUGAAGGCCUUCGGAUCGUAAAACUCUGUUAUUAGGGAAGAACAAAUGUGUAAGUAACUAUGCACGUCUUGACGGUACCUAAUCAGAAAGCCACGGCUAACUACGUG
rnacentral:rRNA from 1 species